rnacentral:rRNA from 1 species
CUACGGGAUGCAGCAGUGGGGAAUAUUGCACAAUGGACGAAAGUCUGAUGCAGCAACGCCGCGUGGAGGAUGACACAUUUCGGUGCGUAAACUCCUUUUAUAUAGGAAGAUAAUGACGGUACUAUAUGAAUAAGCACCGGCUAACUCCGUGCCAGCAGCCGCGGUAAUACGGAGGGUGCAAGCGUUACUCGGAAUCACUGGGCGUAAAGAGCGUGUAGGCGGGUGUAUAAGUCAGAAGUGAAAUCCAAUAGCUUAACUAUUGAACUGCUUUUGAAACUGUAUACCUAGAAUGUGGGAGAGGUAGAUGGAAUUUCUGGUGUAGGGGUAAAAUCCGUAGAGAUCAGAAGGAAUACCGAUUGCGAAGGCGAUCUACUGGAACAUUAUUGACGCUGAGACGCGAAAGCGUGGGGAGCAAACAGGAUUAGAUACCCUAGUAGUC